rnacentral:rRNA from 1 species
UACGAAGGGGGCUAGCGUUGCUCGGAAUCACUGGGCGUAAAGCGCACGUAGGCGGCUUUCUAAGUCAGGGGUGAAAUCCUGGAGCUCAACUCCAGAACUGCCUUUGAUACUGGAGAGCUAGAGUCCGGAAGAGGUGAGUGGAACUGCGAGUGUAGAGGUGAAAUUCGUAGAUAUCCGCAAGAACACCAGUGGCGAAGGCGGCUCACUGGUCCGGUACUGACGCUGAGGUGCGAAAGCGUGGGGAGCAAACAGG